rnacentral:rRNA from 1 species
AUUGCCCCAGUAACGGCGAGUGAAGCGGCAACAGCUCAAAUUUGAAAUCUGGCCCCUAGGGCCCGAGUUGUAAUUUGUAGAGGAUGCUUUUGGCAAGGUGCCUUCCGAGUUCCCUGGAACGGGACGCCAUAGAGGGUGAGAGCCCCGUCUGGUUGGAUACCGAGCCUCUGUAAAGCUCCUUCGACGAGUCGAGUAGUUUGGGAAUGCUGCUCUAAAUGGGAGGUAUAUGUCUUCUAAAGCUAAAUAUUGGCCAGAGACCGAUAGCGCACAAGUAGAGUGAUCGAAAGAUGAAAAGCACUUUGAAAAGAGGGUUAAAUAGUACGUGAAAUUGUUGAAAGGGAAGCGCUCAUGACCAGACUUGGGCCCGGUGAAUCAUCCAGCGUUCUCGCUGGUGCACUUUGCCGGGCUCAGGCCAGCAUCAGUUUGCCCCGGGGGAUAAAGGCUUUGGGAAUGUGGCUCCUCCGGGAGUGUUAUAGCCCUUUGCAUAAUACCCUGAGGCGGACUGAGGUUCGCGCAUCUGCAAGGAUGCUGGCGUAAUGGUCAUCAGCGACCCGUCUUGAAACACGGACCAAGGAGUCGUCUUCGUAUGCGAGUGUUCGGGUGUUAAACCCCUACGCGUAAUGAAAGUGAACGCAGGUGAGAGCUUCGGCGCAUCAUCGACCGAUCCUGAUGUUCUCGGAUGGAUUUGAGUAAGAGCAUACGGGGCCGGACCCGAAAGAAGGUGAACUAUGCCUGUAUAGGGUGAAGCCAGAGGAAACUCUGGUGGAGGCUCGCAGCGGUUCUGACGUGCAAAUCGAUCGUCAAAUAUGGGCAUGGGGGCGAAAGACUAAUCGA